GAAAUGCGAUAAUUAAUGUGAAUUGCAGAAUUCAGUGAAUCAUCGAGUCUUUGAACGCACAUUGAGCCCCCUGGUAUUCCGGGGGGCAUGCCUGUCCGAGCGUCAUUGCUGCCCUCAAGCACGGCUUGUGUGUUGGGCUUCCGUCCCUGGCAACGGGGACGGGCCCAAAAGGCAGUGGCGGCACCAUGUCUGGUCCUCGAGCGUAUGGGGCUUUGUCACCCGCUCCCGUAGGUCCAGCUGGCAGCUAGCCUCGCAACCAAUCUUUUUAACCAGGUUGACCUCGGAUCAGGUAGGGAUACCCGCUGAACUUAAGC
rnacentral:misc_RNA from 1 species